AGAGUUUGAUCCUGGCUCAGAACGAACGCUGGCGGCGCGCCUAAUACAUGCAAGUCGAACGAGAAUGUGUAGCAAUACACAUGUAAAGUGGCGAACGGGUGAGGAUUACAUGGGUAACCUACCCUCGAGUGGGGAAUAACCAGCCGAAAGGUUGGCUAAUACCGCGUACGCUUCCCAGACUGCGGUUCGGGAAGGAAAGCGAUACCUUGGGUAUCGCGCUCUUGGAUGGGCUCAUGCCCUAUCAGCUUGUUGGUGAGGUAACGGCUCACCAAGGCUUCGACGGGUAGCUGAUCUGAGAGGAUGAUCAGCCACACUGGCACUGCGACACGGGCCAGACUCCUACGGGAGGCAGCAGUAAGGAAUAUUGCGCAAUGGGCGAAAGCCUGACGCAGCGACGCCGCGUGGGGGAUGAAGGUCUUCGGAUUGUAAACCCCUUUCGGGAGGGAAGAUGGGAUGGGGUAACCCAUUCGGACGGUACCUCCAGAAGCAGCCACGGCUAACUUCGUGCCAGCAGCCGCGGUA
rnacentral:rRNA from 1 species